rnacentral:rRNA from 1 species
ACGGGACCCGCACAAGCGGUGGAUGAUGUGGAUUAAUUCGAUGCAACGCGAAAACCUUACCUACGCUUGACAUGUCAGGAACCUCGAAGAGAUUUGAGGGUGCCCGAAAGGGAACCUGAACACAGGUGCUGCAUGGCUGUCGUCAGCUCGUGUCGUGAGAUGUUGGGUUAAGUCCCGCAACGAGCGCAACCCUUAUCAUUAGUUGCUACGCAAGGGCACUCUAAUGAGACUGCCGGUGACAAACCGGAGGAAGGUGGGGAUGACGUCAAGUCCUCAUGGCCCUUAUGCGUAGGGCUUCACACGUCAUACAAUGGUCGGUACAGAGGGUUGCCAACCCGCGAGGGGGAGCCAAUCCCACAAAGCCGAUCGUAGUCCGGAUUGCAGUCUGCAACUCGACUGCAUGAAGUCGGAAUCGCUAGUAAUCGCGGAUCAGCAUGUCGCGGUGAAUACGUUCCCGGGUCUU